AUCAGCCUUUUGGGCAUGAUUCUGUGGAGCGUGAGGAGUUAAACGCCUUCAUGCCUGCAUAUUCGUGUACUUUGGGUGUACUUGCCUGUGUGGUUAGUUAACAUCAAUUUUGGUUAUCAUAAAAUGGUUGGAGGAAUGUAGCUUCGAUUUCGAUUGAAGUGUUAUAGCCUUCGGUAGAUGUGGUGAUCGAGAUUGAGGAUUGCAACGGAUACCUUUCGGGGCUACCUGUCUGGUCUCUGAUCGUUGCUCUGGUGCCGAAAGCUUGCUUACGGUUAUCAAAGUCGAUGGUCAAUAGGUUAGAACGGGUUAAAUUCGUUAAGGAUGUUGACGUAGUGGCUUU
rnacentral:rRNA from 1 species